GUUCAUGACAAUCUGGAAUCAUUUUGCCAUGUGCAAGACCUGUCGCUUUCACUGCUCUCUUUACCUGCUUCCAAAUGAAGCUACGUGGGAAGGAAGACAGGCACCACUUUAGACAACUACCCUGUGAACUCACCACCAUGCCCCUUGCUCCAUAAAAGCUGAGGAUUAAGGUCCUGAUGGGGUGGAGAAUAGGGACCGAGAUUCCUAGUGCCUUAGAUCUUUAGUCCCUCCACCAGCCUGAUUGCCCUUGACAAAAAUUGUUCUGGCUCCAGUGAAAAAUCUGAAGAAAAAACAAGGAUUAAGAAGCAUAUCUACAUAGCUACACAUCUCAGAUCUUUAAUACUCAUCGAUUUUACAUUUGGUUUUUAUGACUUCGAAUUCUGCCAGGAGAGGGAGGAGGACUUCAGUAUUCAUUUUGAAUCCAUAGUGAUGAUGGUGAUAGCGAUAACAAAUUAAUGGCUAAUAUUUACUCUGUGUAUACGAUAAAAGAAACACUUCUGAGGAGCAGUAUCUCAAAAAACAAAACUCUGAGAAUGAAAUCUCCAGGAAAGAAGAAGCCUCUUCUGCCAGACUCAAGUAAAUGAAUGAAGAAAUAAACAACACACAGACAAAUGGAGCAUGGAAUCUGGCCAAAGUGAAUUACAAAUGGGCAGGGAUAAUGGUUUAAAGGAAGUAUUAAAGGAAAGAGUGAUUACAACAA